GAGAGACAUCCCCUCAUUCUACCUCGUCGUCACAGUUACUGUUCUGUGUUGUGUAGGUGUAGCUCACUGUUGGGGAAGUUGUUGCUUGCAACCUGUUGGAACCGGCGAUCUGUUUCAAGUCCAUUUCUAAGCUUUGAGCGUCCAAGCCACCACCGCGACGACCACUCCUUUUAUCCUCAAUAUAGCUAGCUUUAUGACAUUGACACGUCGCGCUAUUUUCCUUUUAGGAAUCCCAAGUAGGCGUUCAAAAUAAGACAUCCAUGUUGUUCUAAAACCGCCGUCCUUACAAGUUGCCCUGGUACUGCGGAUGGAUUCCCUGAUCUGGGCUUCCGUGAAGGAUUGUGUUUAGUCCUAGUAAUGUAAAACGAGGACCUUCACUAUUCAUCUGAUUGUGGAAUUGGAUAUUCACAUGGUGAGGGCAAUUCCAAUUACGUAAGACUAAUCUUGGGGCAGACAGGAUUGGCUUUCAAGCCUGGCCUUGGCGUUCGGACCCAAUAUAGGGGCACUCGCAUACUACUUCCUGUUUCGAGCGGCCCCGGGCAAGAGACGAUUGUCAUUUCGGCGCGUUGUUCCGUUAGGAGCCCCUUCGCUACAAGCUGUGGCCAUUGCGUUGGCCCAGAUUCUCCAACUGGACUUCGUGCAAGUCGAGGACUUCCGCGAGGCAGCGCAGGUGUCUGUAAUUGGCACAAGGAACUGAGCGUUUGUGUCAAACACUGUAAUCCGAUCGCGAUCGACCCUCUCUUUCGUCCCCGACGCUAGCAACGGCUAAUCAAUAGAUCCAGGUAUUACUAUCGAUAUCGAAUGCUGCAACUGGUUCUAGCUCUUGACAUCGACUGGUUUUGACCACAACAUGAUAGUGAGAUUGUGGUUCUCUUAGAUGUUGAUUUGUUGAUUUCUUACUCACAAGAGUGCCAUGGAUUAGAAGUGAAUGCAAUUAAGAAACUUAGUUUGGUCAUUUUGUGUCUUCUGGAAGUCUUAGAUCAUAGUUUCAAGCAUCACGAUCUAAUUUAAACCUAUGAAUACGCAAGCUAACAAGGCUUGGUAUCCACAUUGAGAUAUUCCUUCAUGAUACAGCAAAGUUCCAAUUUGAUAUUAGUCACUCCUAAAUUGAUCAGAUAUCUAGUGGCAAGUCAUCAAAACCGUCGUUCCAACAAUCUAGUGCCUUGGAUUAGUCGCUUAAUCCUGAUCGUAGUUCAAUCGAUUGUAGGGAUCAAACUUCCUUCCCCUUGAGCAAAGAUCUCUGCUUGUGUAUUAGGCGAUCUAUUUACUUCACUAUUGGACCGUAUCAAAACCUUCACUUCAUCGAUUGAAGGAUUCCAUUAAAUGUACGAUCGAUCGAUGAUCAAACUACCAUGCAAAAACCAAUUUGACAAUCUCUUGUUUCUUAUUUUCAACUUACUGUUUGUUUUAGGUAGUAGAAGCAUGAAGCGAUUAGGUUAGAUCGUCUAGUUUCUUGCGGUGUUAUGCCAUUUCAUUAAUUGUUGUGUUUUGUAAGCAUUAAUGCAGUUUGAUGAAUCUUAGGUUGAAAAAUCAUUUGUUACAUGCUAUUGGAUUAGUUGAUGUACAAAGGUAUGUGAAUCAACUUGAAAAUGCUGAUUAAAAUGACAUUUUUUGCUUA